rnacentral:lncRNA from 1 species
ACAACAUUAAUUUUAUUUUAAUAUGUAAAGUUAACUUUUUAAUGUGUGAUAACCUAUUUGUUAGCUCCUGGGCUACAAUGAGAAGAAAAGAGUAAGCUAUACAGAAGGAGUUGGCCAAUGUGGAGCUUGACCACAGUACUGGGAUGAAAAGGCUUUUUCAGUGUCUUUUAAUUGCAAUGCACUUCUUCAGUGAAUGGGUAGUGAGAAAGUGUUAUCUG